GAUGAACGCUGGCGGCGUGCCUAAUACAUGCAAGUAGAACGCUGAAGGAGGAGCUUGCUCUUCUGGAUGAGUUGCGAACGGGUGAGUAACGCGUAGGUAACCUGCCUGGUAGCGGGGGAUAACUAUUGGAAACGAUAGCUAAUACCGCAUGACAACAGUUAUUGCAUGAUAACUGUUUAAAAGGGGCAACUGCUCCGCUACCAGAUGGACCUGCGUUGUAUUAGCUAGUUGGUGAGGUAACGGCUCACCAAGGCGACGAUACAUAGCCGACCUGAGAGGGUGAUCGGCCACACUGGGACUGAGACACGGCCCAGACUCCUACGGGAGGCAGCAGUAGGGAAUCUUCGGCAAGGGACGGAAGUCUGACCGAGCAACGCCGCGUGAGUGAAGAAGGUUGUCGGAUCGUAAAGCUCGGUUGUAAGAGAAGAACGAGUGUGAGAGUGGAAAGUUCACACUGUGACGGUAUCUUACCAGAAAGGGACGGCUAACUACGUG
rnacentral:rRNA from 1 species